rnacentral:tRNA from 1 species
UCCCUGGUGGCUGAGAGGUUAAAGCCUCUGCUGCAUUGCAGUCUGCCCGCAAUGCAGGAGACCUGGGUUCGAUCCCUGGAUAGGGAA